UACGUAGGGGCCUAGCGUUGUCCGGAAUUAUUGGGCGUAAAGAGCUCGUAGGCGGCCGGUUGCGUCUGCUGUGAAAUCCCGGGGCUUAACCCCGGGCGUGCAGUGGAUACGGGCUGGCUGGAGGCAGGCAGGGGAGAAUGGAAUUCCCGGUGUAGCGGUGAAAUGCGCAGAUAUCGGGAGGAACACCGGUGGCGAAGGCGGUUCUCUGGGCCUGUGCUGACGCUGAGGAGCGAAAGCGUGGGGAGCGAACAGG
rnacentral:rRNA from 1 species